rnacentral:misc_RNA from 1 species
GUAGGUGAACCUGCGGAAGGAUCAUUAUCACAUGAUUCCAUGUAUAAACCAUUGUGCAUCGUCACCCCCUCUAGGUUUGAAGUCGGAAAUGAGAAAAGCGUUUUAACGGUCACUAUUGUAAUUUGAAGACCAAGUUUUUCUCUACUAUCUAAAGCUUUCGGGCGAUAGAUGGAGCUGACAUCAGUUAUAUCUAGAGUGUAAUUCAAAUUACAUACUUAUUGAUUAACAAUUGAAACCCCUUUUAAACUUU